UACGGAGGGCGCAAGCGUUGUUCGGAAUCACUGGGCGUAAAGCGCGUGUAGGCGGCUUGGCAAGUCGGGUGUGAAAUCCCGAGGCUCAACCUCGGAACUGCACUCGAAACUGCUUGGCUCGAGUCCCGGAGAGGGUGGCGGAAUUCCCGGUGUAGGGGUGAAAUCCGGAGAUAUCGGGAGGAACACCAGUGGCGAAGGCGGCCACCUGGACGGUGACUGACGCUGAGACGCGAAAGCGUGGGGAGCAAACAGG
rnacentral:rRNA from 1 species